AGUAACAGAGAAUUUGGGUUCGAUUCUGGAGAGGGAGCUUUAAAGAUAGCUACCACAUCUAAGGAAGGCAGCAGGCACGCAAAUUACCCAAUUGUCGAUGACAGAGGUAGUAAUAAUACAUAACAAUACAGGACUCGUCCGAGGCCUUGUAAUUGGAAUGUUUUUAAGAUAAAGACAUGAAGGAGGAACUAUUAGAGGGCAAGUCUGGUGCCAGCAGCCGCGGUAAUUCCAGCUCUAAUAGCGUAUUUUAAUGUUGUUGCGGUUGAAAAGCUCGUAGUUGGAUAUCAUUGAUUGUAUAAGUUCAAUGUGAAUUGUUCUUAUACAGGAGAGGGAAGUCAAGCGGUGAAAAUAAACUUGAAUGUUUAUAUCCACAUAACGCCUGGCUUAAGUUACUUUGAAUAAAUCAAAGUGCUCAAUACAAGCUUUUGCUUGAAUAUAUGUGCAUGGGAUAACGCAAGAAGAUCAAUAUCGAAUCUGUUGGUUGAAUCGAUACGGGUAAUGAUUAAUAGAGAUUGACGGGGGCAUUUGUAUUUGAAAGCGAGAGGUGAAAUUCUGUGACCUUUCAAAGACAUGCUAAAGCGAAAGCACUUGCCAAGAAUGUUUUCACUAAUCAAGAACGAAAGUUAGAGGCUCGAAGGCGAUUAGAUACCGCCCUAGUUCUAACCAUAAACAAUGCCAACUAACAAUCUUGUGUAGUUUAAGUUGAAACUAACAAGGAAGUUUUCGGAAAACCAAAGUUUUUGGGUUCCGGGGGUAGUAUGGUUGCAAAGCUGAAACUUAAAGUAAUUGACGGAGUGGCACCACCAGGAGUGGAGCCUGUGGCUUAAUUUGACCCAACACGGGGAAGCUCACCAGGGCAAGACACUAUUAGGAUUGACAGAUUGAUAGCUCUUUCUCGAUAAAGUGGGUGGUGGUGCAUGGCCGUUCUUAGUUGGUGGAGUGAUUUGUCUGGUUAAUUCCGAUAACGAACGAGACUCUGACCAAUUACUAGUGAAAUCUUUUGAAAAGAAAGUUACCGCAGUAAUGCAGUUUCAUUCGAGAUUUUACUUCUUAAGGGGACACGCUAUUGUGAAUAGCACGAGGAAGAGCAAUAACAGGUCUGUGAUGCCCUUAGAUGUUCUGGGCUGCACACGCGCUACAAUAAAUUAAUCAACAAGUUCUCCGUUUUGACAGAUGCGGGCAAACUUUUGAAAUUAAUUUAUGGUAGGAAUGGGAACUUGCAAUUAUUUUCCCUGAACUAGGAA
rnacentral:rRNA from 1 species